AGUGAACGCUGGCGGUAGGCCUAACACAUGCCAGUCGAACGGCAGCACAGUAAGAGCUUGCUCUUACGAGUGGCGAGUGGCGGACGGGUGAGGAAUACAUCGGAAUCUACUUUUUCGUGGGGGAUAACGUAGGGAAACUUACGCUAAUACCGCAUACGACCUACGGGUGAAAGCAGGGGAUCUUCGGACCUUGCGCGAUUGAAUGAGCCGAUGUCGGAUUAACUAGUUGGCGGGGUAAAGGCCCACCAAGGCGACGAUCCGUAGCUGGUCUGAGAGGAUGAUCAGCCACACUGGAACUGAGACACGGUCCAGACUCCUACGGGAGGCAGCAGUGGGGAAUAUUGGACAAUGGGCGCAAGCCUGAUCCAGCCAUACCGCGUGGGUGAAGAAGGCCUUCGGGUUGUAAAGCCCUUUUGUUGGGAAAGAAAAGCAGCAGGUUAAUACCCCGCUGUUCUGACGGUACCCAAAGAAUAAGCACCGGCUAACUUCGUG
rnacentral:rRNA from 1 species